UACGUAGGGCGCAAGCGUUGUCCGGAAUUAUUGGGCGUAAAGAGCUCGUAGGCGGUCUGUCGCGUCGGAUGUGAAAGCCCGGGGCUUAACCCCGGGUCUGCAUUCGAUACGGGCAGACUAGAGUGUGGUAGGGGAGAUCGGAAUUCCUGGUGUAGCGGUGAAAUGCGCAGAUAUCAGGAGGAACACCGGUGGCGAAGGUGGAUCUCUGGGCCAUUACUGACGCUGAGGAGCGAAAGCGUGGGGAGCGAACAGG
rnacentral:rRNA from 1 species